rnacentral:rRNA from 1 species
UAGGGAAUCUUCCGCAAUGGGCGAAAGCCUGACGGAGCAACGCCGCGUGAGUGAUGAAGGUUUUCGGAUCGUAAAGCUCUGUUGCCAGAGAAGAACGCCGAGGAGAGUAACUGCUCUUCGGGUGACGGUAUCUGAGAAGAAAGCCCCGGCUAACUACGUGCCAGCAGCCGCGGUAAUACGUAGGGGGCAAGCGUUGUCCGGAAUUAUUGGGCGUAAAGCGCGCGCAGGCGGCUGUUUAAGUCUGGUGUUUAAGCCCGGGGCUCAACCCCGGUUCGCACUGGAAACUGGACGGCUUGAGUGCAGGAGAGGGAAGUGGAAUUCCACGUGUAGCGGUGAAAUGCGUAGAGAUGUGGAGGAACACCAGUGGCGAAGGCGACUUCCUGGCCUGUAACUGACGCUGAGGCGCGAAAGCGUGGGGAGCAAACAGG